CACUGACGUCGCGACGCAUAUCAAUAAGCGGAGGAAAAGAAACUAACAAGGAUUCCCCUAGUAACGGCGAGUGAAGCGGGAAGAGCUCAAAUUUGAAAUCUUAAAGGGUUUCCCUUUACGAAUUGUAGUUUAAAGAAGUGUUUUUUGUUGGAGGUUUCGGUAAAAGUUCUUUGGAAUAGGACAUCAUAGAGGGUGAGAAUCCCGUAUUUGACCGUUACUUUCAAGCUGUGUGAUACACUUUCAAAGAGUCGGAUUGUUUGGGAAUGCAGUCCAAAAUGGGUGGUAAAUUUCAUCUAAAGCUAAAUAUUGGCGAGAGACCGAUAGCGAACAAGUACCGUGAGGGAAAGAUGAAAAGAACUUUGAAAAGAGAGUUAAACAGUACGUGAAAUUGUCAAAAGGGAAGCGUUUGACACCAGUGUUGUUUAGUCUGAAAAUCAAUUAAAUAACUGUUUGAUUCUAAGUUAGUAUUAGACUUUAUCAGCUAGCUGCUUUAGUUUUCAGGACUUUCUUGAAUGCACUUUUCAGUUAACAAGUCAACAUCAAUUUCUUUUGCUGUAAAAAGGCUUAGAGGAAGGUGGCUUACGAUUCGGCGUAAGUGUUUAUAGCCUCUUUACCUAUGCAAUCGGAGAGAUUGAGGUACAUGCAGCGUAGACUCCUUCGGGGCUAGAUACACUUUGUGCUAAGUUAUAGCAUUGUAUAGACAACUUGUUGACUAUGAUUCAGUCAUUGUAGCUUACUCGCUUAGUGUUAUUUUACCUACGCUUAGGAUGUUGAUGUGAUACUGCGAGCA
rnacentral:rRNA from 1 species